AACGAACGCUGGCGGCGCGCCUAAUACAUGCAAGUCGAACGAGAAGGUGUAGCAAUACACUUGUACAGUGGCGAACGGGUGAGGAAUGCAUGGGCAACCUACCCUCGAGUGGGGAACAACCAGCCGAAAGGUUGGCUAAUACCGCGUACGCUUCCGGGUCUCCGGAUCCGGAAGGAAAGUCACACCGUGGGUGUGACGCUCAAGGAUGGGCUCAUGUCCUAUCAGCUUGNGGUGAGGUAACGGCUCACCAAGGCAACGACGGGUAGCUGGUCUGAGAGGACGAUCAGCCACACUGGCACUGCGACACGGGCCAGACUCCUACGGGAGGCAGCAGUAAGGAAUAUUGCGCAAUGGGCGAAAGACCUGACGCAGCGACGCCGCGUGGGGGAGUGAAGGUCUUCGGA
rnacentral:rRNA from 1 species